AGCGAACGCUGGCGGCAGGCCUAACACAUGCAAGUCGAACGGAUCCUUCGGGAUUAGUGGCGGACGGGUGAGUAACACGUGGGAACGUGCCCUUUGGUUCGGAACAACUCAGGGAAACUUGAGCUAAUACCGGAUAAGCCCUACGGGGGAAAGAUUUAUCGCCAUUGGAGCGGCCCGCGUCUGAUUAGCUAGUUGGUGAGGUAAAGGCUCACCAAGGCGACGAUCAGUAGCUGGUCUGAGAGGAUGAUCAGCCACAUUGGGACUGAGACACGGCCCAAACUCCUACGGGAGGCAGCAGUGGGGAAUCUUGCGCAAUGGGCGAAAGCCUGAUGCAGCCAUGCCGCGUGAAUGAUGAAGGUCUUAGGAUUGUAAAAUUCUUUCAGCAGGGACGAUAAUGACGGUACCUGCAGAAGAAGCCCCGGCUAACUUCGUGCCAGCAGCCGCGGUAAU
rnacentral:rRNA from 1 species